UUUCUUGCUAAACUCUCUCUAACCUCGAGCCCGACCGAGAGGGCUCUCUCCUUUUCUCUCAAACCUAAAAUCAAAACCGAAACAACUAGCCCUCAUCAUUUCUACUCCUCGCGAUGUCUUCUCAGCCAAACCCAGAAGCACCCCUUAAACGCACAGCACCGAGUUCCAUUGAGUCCACUACGCUUGCAAACGGAGUUGCUGGCAUACUGAAAAUUUUAUAGUCCAAAAGGAGAACUCGCAGAGUCCACGAUUUUCAAAUCCCAAAGGAAGGUAAUAGCCGACAACCGCCGAACUUGUAUGUAAAAAAAUUAUUUUAUUAAAAUGUGAGAGAGAGUGAGUGAAAGAGGGUCCAGCGAUAUAGAGGUCAUCACAGCAACCCCACUGUAAGCAUUUCAUAAUUCAGACUCCAGUUCACAUUCCUUUUAAAUUUCUGCACUUUAAUGUU